rnacentral:rRNA from 1 species
CCUACGGGUGGCAGCAGUGAGGAAUAUUGGUCAAUUGUCGCGAGCCUGAACCAGCCAAGUAGCGUGAAGGAUGACUGCCCUACGGGUUGUACACUUCUUUUAUAAAGGAAUACAGUGAGGCACGUGUGCCUUUUUGUAUGUACUUUAUGAAUAAGGAUCGGCUAACUACGUGCCAGCAGCCGCGGUAAUACGGCGGAUCCGAGCGUUAUCCGGAUUUAUUGGGUUUAAAGGGAGCGUAGAUGGGUUGUUAAGUCAGUUGUGAAAGUGUGCGGCUCAACCGUAAAAUUGCAAUUGAUACUGGCAGUCUUGAGUACAGUUGAGGUAGGCGGAAUUCGUGGUGUAGCGGUGAAAUGCUUAGAUAUCACGAAGAACUCCGAUUGCGAAGGCAGCUUACUAAACUGCCACUGACAUUGAUGCUCGAAAGUGUGGGUAUCAAACAGGAUUAGAUACCCGGGUAGUC